CCUACGGGAGGCAGCAGUGAGGAAUAUUGGUCAAUGGACGAGAGUCUGAACCAGCCAAGUAGCGUGAAGGAUGACUGCCCUAUGGGUUGUAAACUUCUUUUAUAUGGGAAUAAAAUAGUCCACGUGUGGGCUUUUGUAUGUACCAUAUGAAUAAGGAUCGGCUAACUCCGUGCCAGCAGCCGCGGUAAUACGGAGGAUCCGAGCGUUAUCCGGAUUUAUUGGGUUUAAAGGGAGCGUAGGUGGAUUGUUAAGUCAGUUGUGAAAGUUUGCGGCUCAACCGUAAAAUUGCAGUUGAAACUGGCAGUCUUGAGUACAGUAGAGGUGGGCGGAAUUCGUGGUGUAGCGGUGAAAUGCUUAGAUAUCACGAAGAACUCCGAUUGCGAAGGCAGCUCACUGGACUGCAACUGACACUGAGGCUCGAAAGUGUGGGUAUCAAACAGGAUUAGAUACCCUUGUAGUC
rnacentral:rRNA from 1 species